rnacentral:rRNA from 1 species
UACAGAGGUCCCGAGCGUUGUUCGGAUUCAUUGGGCGUAAAGGGUGCGUAGGUGGCGCCGUAAGUGGGGUGUGAAAUCCCGGGGCUUAACCCCGGGACUGCAUUCCAUACUGCGGUGCUUGAGGACUGGAGAGGAGACUGGAAUUUACGGUGUAGCGGUGAAAUGCGCAGAUAUCGGGAGGAACACCGGUGGCGAAGGCGGUUCUCUGGGCCUGUGCUGACGCUGAGGAGCGAAAGCGUGGGGAGCGAACAGG